CCAGCCUGGGCCUCCCACCGACCUGGACCUCUGGCUGACUGUUCCAUGAGGAACAGAUAAACUUCCUGCUCCUCAAGCCACUGCACUGGGGGUCAGAGCCCACCCUAACAGAAGAGGAAACUGGGGGGAACUUGGCAGGAAUCCCAGGCACCCCGGCCACCCGCCUCCUCACCCUGCCAUCAUGGGUCAGCAGGAUUGAGUCACUCUUGAUGUCCCGGUGGAUGACACCCUGGGCGUGGAGCACAGACAAGGCCUGCAGCACGGCCAGGCACACGGCAGCAAUCUGCUCCUCGUUCAUCCUGUAUGGGGUGGUGGGCCUGGCCCAGACGGUAGAAGAACACAGAGAAGAAAGAUGAAGACAGGGACAAGGAAGAACAGGAGGGCCACAGGCUGGGUGCUGCUCCUGCCCACCUCGUUGAAGAGCAGCUCGCGCCUCUGCUGCUUGCGCAGGUCCAUCUUCUUGACAGCCACCAGCUUGCCUGAACUGCGCACAGUGGCAAUGCACACGAUGCCCGUGGAGCCCUCUCCGAUCUUGAUGAAGUUGUCUAGAGCACUUAACGCCCGCUGACACAAAGCAUGUGUGUAUCUGUCCAUUGCCUGUCUCUGCCCAGUGGAAUGUUCCUGAGGGCAGUGAUUUUUUUUCUUCUUGUCUAUUUCCAGUCCUGCUACUUCUC